rnacentral:rRNA from 1 species
UACGGAGGGGGCGAGCGUUAUUCGGAAUUAUUGGGCGUAGAGGGCGCGUAGGCGGCGCGAUAAGUCAAAGGUGAAAUCCCUCGGCUCAACUGAGGAACUGCCUUUGAAACUGUCGUGCUUGAGGCCGGGAGGGGGUAGCGGAAUUCCCAGUGUAGCGGUGAAAUGCGUAGAUAUUGGGAGGAACACCAGUGGCGAAGGCGGCUACCUGGACCGGUUCUGACGCUGAUGCGCGAAAGCGUGGGUAGCAAACAGG